CGUAGGGCGCGAGCGUUGUCCGGAUUUAUUGGGCGUAAAGAGCUCGUAGGCGGCUCGUCGCGUCGAUCGUGAAAACUUGCAGCUCAACUGUGAGCUUGCGGUCGAUACGGGCGGGCUAGAGUUCGGUAGGGGAGACUGGAAUUCCUGGUGUAGCGGUGAAAUGCGCAGAUAUCAGGAGGAACACCGGUGGCGAAGGCGGGUCUCUGGGCCGAUACUGACGCUGAGGAGCGAAAGCGUGGGGAGCGAACAGGAUUAGAUACCCUGGUAGUCCACGCUGUAAACGUUGGGCGCUAGGUGUGGGGGUCCUCUCCGGGUUCCUGUGCCGUAGCUAACGCAUUAAGCGCCCCGCCUGGGGAGUACGGCCGCAAGGCUA
rnacentral:rRNA from 1 species